GCGGGCGUCCUCCCGGGAGGUCCCGGUCCUUGCAGCCGCGACCACGUCCUUGGCCCUCCUCCAAGGGAACCUCGAUUUUCCAAACCCGGGAAGGCCGGCUGUCCUUCGGCAACUGAGAAGGACGCGAGCGCGUGGCAAAAGGUGUUAACGAUGCCCGGAAAGAAAUAGCCGGACCCAAGAAAGAGACAAUCAUAGCCGCCAGCCAGAGUCCUCCGCUCGCGUGCUCAGCGGACUUAAGAACAAUAAUAACGACAGCAACCACAAUAGCCACCUUUUAUUGAGCGCUUACUCGGUGCCAGGCACUGUGUAACGCGCUUUACAGGCAACAACCCUCGAAGCCCGCAGGCGUCAGAAAGGGGAGCGUCUCCCGAAAUCCUGUCGGAGACCCGGCAGCGCGGUCCUCGAAAAGGAUGGAGCGGAGGCGGAGGCGGAGGCAGCCGGAGGGAUCCCGGGUCCCACCUGCAGGGCGGUGGGGCCGGAGCGCAGUUGACGAUUAGCCCAUCGCGGCCGGCAGAGGGCGCCGCCGCACGCGCCUCGGGUCCCAAGGCACCAGGCCCUUGGGCUGGCAGGCUCGACCUGCAGACCAGUAAACUCGAAACCCCCAGAGUGGGUGGGAUUUUUUGGUUUGUUUAUUUAUUUUGGUGGCUGGCACCCCUCUGGCCCCUCACCUCAGCUCUGGGCCUGCUUUCCCGACCACUCUUCCCCAUCUCCUGAGCUCCGGCCACCCCACCAGUCCACCCCACCGUUGGCCUUCGAGGUUUCCCUAGUCCCUACACUGCUGGUUUAGUCACCUCUUGCUGAGAGGCAAAGAAUACUGAUCCAUCCUAUUGAAAGGCUCAGGUGUUUGAAAGUUUGAGCUGUCUCUCUCCUUCUCAUGGGCCCUUUGGUGAUAUAAAAUGGGGAUAAAUCAACCACUUGGAGUAGAUAACUUAAUUUUCUUUCCUUCUUGAAAAUAGGAGGAGGAGGUGGUUAAGGAAGGAGCCAACAGAUGAAAGGAUCUAUUUUCGACAUAGCUGCAAUGUGAUAAGUGCUCGUUUUGUGCUGUCCUUUCUGUGCCUUGAGACCUUAAUCCUCACUGCAGGCAUGAGAGGUGUGCAUCAUUAUUCGCACUUGACAGAUGAGGUCACACGACUGGUAAAUGGCAAUGCUGGGAACCCAUUAGGGGGAUCUGACGUUCAAACCAUGUCCCCAUCACCCAGAAUGUACAAGCUGAUACAACUGGACAGAAGAGGAAGGCAGUGGCUCCGAGACCAGAAGGAUGGAGAGUGAGGAGGACUUUCCCUUACCUGGGUUGCAGAACCAUUUGAAUUUAGAGAACUCAUUGUAUGUGUGGUGUCUGCAUAGGUUUCUGGUAGUGCAUUCUCUGGCUGAUGUCCAAAGUCUUCAAAGCAUGGGGGCCUGAGAUAUGCCCAAAGGAACGCCUAUCUGUGGAAGAAGCGGGUCCCCCCACCAAGAAGUUCUUGGUGGUCAGUGUCUGCGUGUCCGCUGCUGGGGUGAAGAGAAUUGGAAACCACUGAACAUUCCUGCUGGGAUCUUUCCAAGCCCUUUUGGGAACCGGCAACAGCUCUUGUCUGGGGAAAUUAGUUUUGCACUUUCACGGAGUGAGAAAUUCCUCAGGGGCAUUCUUGUACUUGGGAAGAGAAAUCAAACCCAGCUCAUUCCUUCAGGGCCCAUGCUAUUAAUAAAGCCGACCGAGUUCAGUUCCGUGGGUCCAGCCUGGGGCUAUGGGUGGGGCUGGAGCAAAGGAGUUCAGCGAAUUUCACCUGUGGCUCAGGCCCUCGCCUGGCUGGCGACUGGCGCAAGCUUGAGAUUUCAGGGGAUUGUGUUACCAGCGUGUAAACGCCGUGGGUGACAGCCAACGUCCCCAAGAGACCACAGAGGAUCUCAAACCCUUCCUAUCUUCCUAGAAACCCUGGCGGCCCGGCUGGCUGCUUGCUGUCUGAUGCAACAGUUUGCAACGCCGUUCUGGGAGCCCAGCCUGCUGCGGGGAGCUGGGCGUCCUGCCGACGCGCAUGCGCGGGCUGCGGGCCUGCGGGGCGGCACCGGGCGGGGCGCGGGAGAGGCUUGGCCGGAGUGUGCCGGGGACUGGGCGGGCACGGAGACCUUUGGCAGCCCGCGCCCGCGAUCUGAGCUUAAUUAAACUUCUCCUGAGGCAUUGGCUGACUGAUUGACCCAGUGAUCCAAAGAAAAUCAGAGAGCCCCGAAUCGCCCUGUGAACGCCACGGGAAAGGGAAGUUGGGGAGUUGGCUUUCGAUUUCCAGAGCUGGGCCUUUCAAUUCAGCCUCCCUCCCCUGAGCGCUCCCCAAUCCACGAUGCCAUGGGGGCUCAAACAUUCAUCAGGGCCUUCGCCAACGCUUGCCUGAGCUCUCCUUUCACUUCACAAGAAAG